AUUGAACGCUGGCGGCAUGCCUUACACAUGCAAGUCGAACGGUAACAGGUCUUCGGAUGCUGACGAGUGGCGAACGGGUGAGUAAUACAUCGGAACGUGCCCGAUCGUGGGGGAUAACGAAGCGAAAGCUUUGCUAAUACCGCAUAAGAUCUACGGAUGAAAGCAGGGGACGGCAAGGCCUUGCGCGAACGGAGCGGCCGAUGGCAGAUUAGGUAGUUGGUGGGAUAAAAGCUUACCAAGCCGACGAUCUGUAGCUGGUCUGAGAGGACGACCAGCCACACUGGGACUGAGACACGGCCCAGACUCCUACGGGAGGCAGCAGUGGGGAAUUUUGGACAAUGGGCGAAAGCCUGAUCCAGCCAUGCCGCGUGCAGGAUGAAGGCCUUCGGGUUGUAAACUGCUUUUGUACGGAACGAAAAGACUCUUUCUAAUAAAGAGGGUCCAUGACGGUACCGUAAGAAUAAGCACCGGCUAACUACGUGCCAGUAGCCGCAGUAACAC
rnacentral:rRNA from 1 species